AGAGUUUGAUCGUGGCUCAGAUUGAACGCUGGCGGCAGGCCUAACACAUGCAAGUCGAGCGGCAGCGGGUCCUUCGGGAUGCCGGCGAGCGGCGGACGGGUGAGUAAUGCCUAGGAAUCUGCCUGGUAGUGGGGGAUAACUCGGGGAAACUCGAGCUAAUACCGCAUACGUCCUACGGGAGAAAGCGGGGGAUCUUCGGACCUCGCGCUACCAGAUGAGCCUAGGUCGGAUUAGCUGGUUGGUGAGGUAAAGGCUCACCAAGGCGACGAUCCGUAGCUGGUCUGAGAGGAUGAUCAGCCACACUGGAACUGAGACACGGUCCAGACUCCUACGGGAGGCAGCAGUGGGGAAUAUUGGACAAUGGGCGAAAGCCUGAUCCAGCCAUGCCGCGUGUGUGAAGAAGGUCUUCGGAUUGUAAAGCACUUUAAGUUGGGAGGAAGGGCAGUAAGUUAAUACCUUGCUGUUUUGACGUUACCGACAGAAUAAGCACCGGCUAACUUCGUGCCAGCAGCCGCGGUAAUACGAAGGGUGCAAGCGUUAAUCGGAAUUACUGGGCGUAAAGCGCGCGUAGGUGGUUUGAUAAGUUGGAUGUGAAAGCCCCGGGCUCAACCUGGGAAUUGCAUCCAAAACUGUCUGACUAGAGUAUGGCAGAGGGUGGUGGAAUUUCCUGUGUAGCGGUGAAAUGCGUAGAUAUAGGAAGGAACACCAGUGGCGAAGGCGACCGCCUGGGCUAAUACUGACACUGAGGUGC
rnacentral:rRNA from 1 species